CUCUCUCUCUCUCUCCCUCUCUCCCCCCCUCUCUCUCUUCCUCUCUCCUCUCUGUCUCUCUUUUUGCCAUCUACAUGAUCCUUGAUUAAACAUGGAACAGAGUUAAUAAAAAGGGUGGGGGGGAGACUCAAGGAGAGGAAAUGCAACUGUCAGAAAUCAGGACGGCCAGAUUUCCUGGUGAACCUGCCUCUGUCUGAGGAGGGGAAAGACAAAGUGGGGGCCGGAGGUGGGGGGAAGAGUAGGGAGAAUGUGUGUCUGUGAGUGUGUGUUGAGUGUGAGUGUGUCUCUGUGUGUGUAGGGGUCGAGGUGGGGGGGGUCCGUGUUUGCGAUCUGAACCUUUGGUACCUACAAGGAGGGUGUCUCACCGAACGGUAGCUAAAACCUCACCAGAACCGCGCGGAAGUGAGAAGUCGCGGCCAAAGGCGCCCGCAGAAGCCUCCUCUCUGGGCCGGACCCCAGCCCGAGCGGCCGAAAGGAGCCCCCCGCCCGGAUCACAGCUGCUGCAGCUGCCGCUGAAAUUCGCUGUGGCCGCUGCCUCUUCCCGCUUUAAUCCCAGACCUCCAGUCAUUGGGCAGCUCCUCAGAGGCAAGAAGUCAACACCAUGGCAACCCGACAAGCCUAUCAAAUCACCGGCUGGCGUGACAGCAGCAACACUGCAGGCAGGAGUGGGCUGGGCGGAAGAGCAGAGUGGCCACUGCGCUCAGAAGUUUACAAGGAAAGGGGAAAUGUCUGAAAUGGAGAUUGCACAAUCCUGUCUUGAAGCAGAAGACUCAGCUAGAGCACAUCUGGAAACACCUGGCACUCCUCAAUAGAAUUCAAAUGCUAUUUUAAAAGAUGUAAAAUCUGAGCUGCAACACUGAACAAAAGCUGUACUUGCCAGCCAGCAAAGAUGCUACCACUCUGCACAACAGAUAAAACCCAUACAUAUAGGGAAGUCAAAAGAGUCUUUAAGCUACAGUGUUUGAGAGGCUGUUUGUCUCUGAUGGAAAAUUAAGAAAAUGAGUCCAUUUCUAAGAAGAUGUGGUUCGAACAUACAGAGCUACAUAAUAUGAGUAAAAUAGGACCUAACAGUAGUGUUCUCCAGCAUUGCUCUGCCUUUCCUUUUCUGGAUGUAACAACAUUACUAAGAAAGGAAGAAAAAGCAAAAAUCUGCUCUCGGGGAGAUUCCAGAAUGUUGGAAAGCCCCAAAUGGAAGUCUCUGCUUUGGUUACAGGACAUAAGGUUUAAUAAAUAAAAAGAUGCUCAUCUGGGAUGCUGCACCAAUUAUCAUGUACUAAAUAAGGUUACCUACUUCACUCUCCAGGUAGAAAUGUCUAUCAUAAGCAUGUGCCACAGAAGGUCUCUCAAGUAUCAUUAUUGGCUGUGUUGAAUUUUGUUUUUAGUUCUCUUUUAUAAGGUCUGUAGUCUUACUUUCAGUGAGGAAGUGUUUUCUCAGGUUCUCAAGAAAGUAACAAAAUGCCAGCAUUGUCAAGGUCACCAUUGCCACUGAAUUAUCUUACUGUCUGAUUAUUCCAUCUUCCUCUGCAUCAUAUUAGCCUGAUGACUACAUUCUAAUUAUUUAAAGCGUUAUGUAAAUCAAAGCAGUAAAUGUAAUUUCUAGUCUUACUAGAUAUCAUGUACAUUAGGUCGAAUAACUCUAGAAAUGUCGUCAUAAUCAUGUCAUGCCUAAUGAUGACCUACUCAGCCCCUGCCAACAUCAUUCAAUUACUCAUUUCAGUAUUGAUUUUUCUCAUGCCUCUCUUCGUGGCAUUUAAACAGCCCUCACAUCUCCCCUUUUACUGAGGUGUAAUGUUGUAUAAUGACAGAGAUGCUUUGCUUCCCAGAUUCAUAAUGUUACACUCUGUUUCAAAUCCUUUUGGAGACAAAUUGGGGAAUCAAUAUAUAAAUAAUGACACACUUAUUUUUAAUUAAAAUCACUGCUUUCACAGAAAUGGUAUAUUAAAAUUAUUUUUGCUAAAAAAAUUUUAAAUACCUAUGUACGAUAAAAAGACUGCCAAUCCUUGGGAUCAAGAAUAUAAUUUGCCCCAAAUAACUUUUCUGUAAAAGUAGAAUUCUUAAUGGAAAAUAGAUUAAUACAUAUAAUUUCAAGAUCUAACCUUAAAAAUGGAAAUAAUGUGUCCAUUUUUAAAAAUAAAUCAUAUUUACAUACACUGUGUUUAUGAGAGUUGUUUUGGAAUGAAACUUCUUUGCAUUUGAGAUCAAAUUCUUUUAUUCACAAGAAUUACAUUAUCUUUUUCAGCUGAAUGUUAUGUUAUACUCUUCCAAAAUCUAUUUUCCCUGCACUCAAGUAGCGGUAAAUAUUCUUUUUUUUUUCUGGAAAUUGAUAGUCUAAUUUUCUCCUGCCUCUCUUUGGCACACCCUCAUUUUGCAUGAGAUAUGCUCCUUAAUAAAAUUUCUACUCAAUAUUACAGAAACUUCCAGAAAUGGCAUCUAAAAUAUUACACUGGCCCGUUUAACUUCACCUUCACUAAUUGCAAUACAUUAUACAAAGAGCACUGUGGACAAAGGUGGAAUAUUUAACUAACUGGAUUUGGUUUCACAAACAGUAAUAAGACUUUUAAAAACAUUAUUAGAGCAUUUAUUUCAUCUCCUUUGCAAUAUAUUUUUCUUCCUUUUAAACUAGGCUUUCUAAAUUCUCAU
rnacentral:lncRNA from 1 species